rnacentral:rRNA from 1 species
UACGUAGGGUGCAAGCGUUAAUCGGAAUUACUGGGCGUAAAGCGUGCGCAGGCGGUUCGCUAAGACCGAUGUGAAAUCCCCGGGCUUAACCUGGGACCUGCAUUGGUGACUGGCGGGCUAGAGUAUGGCAGAGGGGGGUAGAAUUCCGACGUGUAGCAGUGAAAUGCGUAGAGAUGUGGAGGAAUACCGAUGGCGAAGGCAGCCCCCUGGGCCAAUACUGACGCUCAUGCACGAAAGCGUGGGGAGCAAACAGG